rnacentral:lncRNA from 1 species
GGCGUCGGGAAUUGGGACACCUUGUCCUCAAGGAGCUUACAGUCUGACAACUUAAAACGGGGAGGACUACGCGUAGAAAAGGAAGCUGCGUAGCGAAGGGAGGCAGGGGAAGCGCGCCUUAGAACAUGCAAGCGUCCUAGAGACGGAUGAAGGCCCGGCUCUCCCGGAAGCGUUUCUUCUGCCUCCCCGCCCCGCCCCCCCGCUUUCCGGUUUUUUUAAAAGAAUAACGGCUUGCGUUCUAGGUCUGCCAGGCUUUCUUCCCGGUAGCCUUUGUGCAUGCAGUGCCACAAAUUAUAUAGAUAAGGAAAGGAAGACUCUGCAAGUGACGGCUCCUAAAGUCAGAUAUUUAAGAUUAGGAAACUGAGUGUGGAAUUGAUGCUAGAUAUAAAGACUCAAGAAAUUGAGAAAUUCCUGGACCAAAAUGGAGCUGAAAAUGACAAGAAUCUCUCAUUGGUAUUUGUGAUCUUUUUGACAUCAUUCAGAUCUAGUUCAUUCACAUGCAUAUGUAAACACACAUAAAUAUGUGUGUGUUUAUAUGUAAAUAUAAUCAAUCGAUAAAAAUGUAUUUAAUGUCUUUGUGCCAGGUUAACACAAAGUACAAAAAGAAGCAAAAGACAGUUCCUGCCCUCAAGGAGCUUACAAUCUAAGGGGGAGGUAGGAGAAGAACAAACUGCAAACAAAUAUAUUUAAAGCAGGAUAUAUAUACAGGAUGAAUAGGAGAUAAGUUACAAUGGGAAGGCACUGGAAUUAAAAGGGGCUGGGGGAGACUUCCUGAUUAAGUAGGAUUUUAUUUGCAAUUUAAAGGAAGCCAGGGAUGUCAGUAGUUGGAGACAAAACAGAGAAGUGUUCCAAACAUAAGGGCUAGCCAAACAAGAGGUAUAGAGCUUAGAGAUAAAGUGCUUUGUUAAGGGAACACAAGAGGAAACGACUGUUCACCUCCAAAUAGUGAACUGGGAAACAUCUAACAAAACAAAACACAUUUUUGUGUAUAUGAAUACACAUACCCACAUAUACAUGUGUGCUGCCCAUAUACCCUUGACCCUGGUCUUUUUUUAUUAAAGCUUUUUCUUUUCAAAACAUAUGCAUACAUAAUUUUCAAUAUUCACUCUUGCAAAACCUUGUGUGUGUUCCAAAUUUUUUCCCUUCCCUUCCUCCUCACCCCCUCCCCUAAACAGCAAGUAAUCCAAUAUAUGUUAAACAUGUCCAAUUCUUCUAUACAUAUUUGCAGAAUUAUCAUGCUGCACAAGAAAAA